rnacentral:rRNA from 1 species
UACGGAGGGUGCAAGCGUUAUCCGGAUUCACUGGGUUUAAAGGGUGCGUAGGUGGGUUUGUAAGUCAGUGGUGAAAUCUCCAAGCUUAACUUGGAACUGCCGUUGAUACUAUAAAUCUUGAAUGUUGUGGAGGUGAGCGGAAUAUGGUCAUGUAGCGGUGAAAUGCUUAGAUAUGACAUAGAACACCAAUUGCGAAGGCAGCUCACUACACAAAGAUUGACACUGAGGCACGAAAGCGUGGGGAGUCAAACAGGA